UUUGGGAACCACUGCUCUAGAAGACUAAAACCCAUUUGAUCUUAGAAGUUAAACAAAAUUGGCCCUGGUUAAUACUUGGAUAGGAGACUACAAAGAAAUACCAGGAGCUUUCAGUU
rnacentral:rRNA from 1 species